rnacentral:lncRNA from 1 species
GUGACUAGGAGUUCCAACAGCAAACCAGAGCCCCCACUUGGAUUUCCUGGGGAUCGAAUAGCUGUAUCUUUGUGGUAGAACUUGAAGUGCUAUGAUCUGCCUACAGGAAAGCCAAGGUAAAAUGUCUCUGACUUCCCUCUAAUAUAAUGAUGGGGCUUCUUGCAGUCAGGGAUCUUCUCCAGAUUUGCUAGUGAUAGCGCGGCCCAAAGAGUAUGUGAGCCUCAGCAGCUCCCCACCUCCCACUCCAGAUUGGGGCGCUUUUUAAAUGCACGUACCCAAGACAAAAAUUAUAGAGGCAUCAAGUGCUAAAUAGACCAGCCCCUGGCUGGUUCUUAGAAACCUAUCGUGUGGUUUUCAAAUUUUACGUAAUUUUUGUUAAAGCAUUUAGCCUGUGGUGAGGCAUAUUUGCUUUAACAUGUGCUUAUUACAGAAGUUAUGUUUCACUGUAGAAAUUUCUGGAAAUACAAAUGCAAAAUAAAACACAAAUCUCUGUCAUUCUGCAGAAACAGCAUUCUUUUGACCCCUUU